rnacentral:rRNA from 1 species
CAGCAGCCGCGGUAAUACGGGGGGAGCAAGCGUUGUUCGGAUUUACUGGGCGUAAAGGGCGCGUAGGCGGCGCAACAAGUCACUUGUGAAAUCUCCGGGCUUAACUCGGAGCGGUCAAGUGAUACUGUUGUGCUAGAGUGCGGAAGGGGCAACUGGAAUUCUCGGUGUAGCGGUGAAAUGCGUAGAUAUCGAGAGGAACACCUGCGGCGAAGGCGGGUUGCUGGGCCGACACUGACGCUGAGGCGCGAAAGCCAGGGGAGCGAACGGGAUUAGAUACCCCGGUAGUCCUGGCCUUAAACGAUGAAUGCUUGGUGUCCGGAGUACUAUUGUCUCCGGGUGCCGUCGCUAACGCAUUAAGCAUUCCGCCUGGGGAGUACGGUCGCAAGACUGAAACUCAAAGGAAUUGACGG